UACGGAGGGUGCAAGCGUUAUCCGGAUUCACUGGGUUUAAAGGGUGCGUAGGUGGGUUGGUAAGUCAGUGGUGAAAUCUCCGAGCUUAACUCGGAAACUGCCAUUGAUACUAUUAAUCUUGAAUAUUGUGGAGGUCAGCGGAAUAUGUCAUGUAGCGGUGAAAUGCUUAGAGAUGACAUAGAACACCAAUUGCGAAGGCAGCUGGCUACACAUAUAUUGACACUGAGGCACGAAAGCGUGGGGAGCGAACAGG
rnacentral:rRNA from 1 species